AAUCCAACCGGGAUUGCCUCAGUAACGGCGAGUGAAGCGGCAAGAGCUCAAAUUUGAAAUCUGGCCCCUCCGGGGUCCGAGUUGUAAUUUGUAGAGGAUGAUUUUGGUGCGGUAUCUUCCGAGUUCCUUGGAACAGGACGCCUUAGGGGGUGAGAGCCCCGUACGGUUGAAUGCCUAGCCUCUGUAAAUCUCCUUCGAC
rnacentral:rRNA from 1 species